GACGAACGCUGGCGGCGUGCUUAACACAUGCAAGUCGAACGGAAAGGCCCUGCUUUUGUGGGGUGCUCGAGUGGCGAACGGGUGAGUAACACGUGAGUAACCUGCCCUUGACUUUGGGAUAACUUCGGGAAACUGGGGCUAAUACCGGAUAGGAGCUCCUGCUGCAUGGUGGGGGUUGGAAAGUUUCGGCGGUUGGGGAUGGACUCGCGGCUUAUCAGCUUGUUGGUGGGGUAGUGGCUUACCAAGGCUUUGACGGGUAGCCGGCCUGAGAGGGUGACCGGCCACAUUGGGACUGAGAUACGGCCCAGACUCCUACGGGAGGCAGCAGUGGGGAAUAUUGCACAAUGGGCGGAAGCCUGAUGCAGCAACGCCGCGUGCGGGAUGACGGCCUUCGGGUUGUAAACCGCUUUCGCCUGUGACGAAGCGUGAGUGACGGUAAUGGGUAAAGAAGCACCGGCUAACUACGUGCCAGCAGCCGCGGUGAUACGUAGGGUGCGAGCGUUGUCCGGAUUUAUUGGGCGUAAAGGGCUCGUAGGUGGUUGAUCGCGUCGGAAGUGUAAUCUUGGGGCUUAACCCUGAGCGUGCUUUCGAUACGGGUUGACUUGAGGAAGGUAGGGGAGAAUGGAAUUCCUGGUGGAGCGGUGGAAUGCGCAGAUAUCAGGAGGAACACCAGUGGCGAAGGCGGUUCUCUGGGCCUUUCCUGACGCUGAGGAGCGAAAGCGUGGGGAGCGAACAGGCUUAGAUACCCUGGUAGUCCACGCUGUAAACGGUGGGUACUAGGUGUGGGGUCCAUUCCACGGGUUCCGUGCCGUAGCUAACGCUUUAAGUACCCCGCCUGGGGAGUACGGCCGCAAGGCUAAAACUCAAAGGAAUUGACGGGGCCCCGCACAAGCGGCGGAGCAUGCGGAUUAAUUCGAUGCAACGCGUAGAACCUUACCUGGGUUUGACAUGGAUCGGGAGUGCUCAGAGAUGGGUGUGCCUCUUUUGGGGUCGGUUCACAGGUGGUGCAUGGCUGUCGUCAGCUCGUGUCGUGAGAUGUUGGGUUAAGUCCCGCAACGAGCGCAACCCUUGUUCACUGUCGCCAGCACGUUAUGGUGGGGACUCAGUGGAGACCGCCGGGGUCAACUCGGAGGAAGGUGGGGAUGACGUCAAGUCAUCAUGCCCCUUAUGUCCAGGGCUUCACGCAUGCUACAAUGGCUGGUACAGAGAGUGGCGAGCCUGUGAGGGUGAGCGAAUCUCGGAAAGCCGGUCUCAGUUCGGAUUGGGGUCUGCAACUCGACCUCAUGAAGUCGGAGUCGCUAGUAAUCGCAGAUCAGCAACGCUGCGGUGAAUAAGUUCCCGGGGCU
rnacentral:rRNA from 1 species